UACGAGUGGUGCAAGCGUUAUUCGGAUUUAUUGGGCGUAAAGGGCGCGUAGGUGGUACAUUAAGUCAACUGUUAAAUUCUUCGGCCUAACCGGAGGUCAGCGGUAGAUACUGGUGCACUAGAGGAUGAGGGAGAGAAGUGGAAUUCUCGGAGUAGCGGUAAAAUGCGUAGAUAUCGAGAGGAACACCAAUGGCGAAGGCAGCUUCUUGGCUCAUUCCUGACACUGAGGCGCGAAAGCGUGGGGAGCAAACAGG
rnacentral:rRNA from 1 species